AUUGAACGCUGGCGGCAGGCCUAACACAUGCAAGUCGAGCGGAGCGGCGGACGGGGGAGUAAUGCCUAGGAAUCUGCCUGGUAGUGGGGGAUAACGUCCGGAAACGGGCGCUAAUACCGCAUACUAUCAGAUGAGCCUAGGUCGGAUUAGCUAGUUGGGGGAGUAAAGGCCUACCAGGGCGACGAUCCGUACCUGGUCUGAGAGGAGGAUCAGUCACACUGGAAAUGAGACACGGUCCAGACUCCUACGGGAGGCAGCAGGGGGGAAUAUUGGGCAAUGGGCGAAAGCCUGAUCAAGCCAUGCCGCGUGAGGGAAGAAGUUCUUCGGAUUGUAAAGCCCUUUCAGUUGGGAGGCGUUACCAACAGAAUAAGCACCGGCUAACUUCGUGCCAGCAGCCGCGGUAAUUC
rnacentral:rRNA from 1 species